rnacentral:rRNA from 1 species
UUAAGCGACUAAGCGUACACGGUGGAUGCCCUGGCAGUCAGAGGCGAUGAAGGACGUGCUAAUCUGCGAUAAGCGUCGGUAAGGUGAUAUGAACCGUUAUAACCGGCGAUUUCCGAAUGGGGAAACCCAGUGUGUUUCGACACACUAUCAUUAACUGAAUCCAUAGGUUAAUGAGGCGAACCGGGGGAACUGAAACAUCUAAGUACCCCGAGGAAAAGAAAUCAACCGAGAUUCCCCCAGUAGCGGCGAGCGAACGGGGAGCAGCCCAGAGCCUGAAUCAGUGUGUGUGUUAGUGGAAGCGUCUGGAAAGGCGCGCGAUACAGGGUGACAGCCCCGUACACAAAAAUGCACAUAUUGUGAGCUCGAUGAGUAGGGCGGGACACGUGGUAUCCUGUCUGAAUAUGGGGGGACCAUCCUCCAAGGCUAAAUACUCCUGACUGACCGAUAGUGAACCAGUACCGUGAGGGAAAGGCGAAAAGAACCCCGGCGAGGGGAGUGAAAAAGAACCUGAAACCGUGUACGUACAAGCAGUGGGAGCACGCUUAGGCGUGUGACUGCGUACCUUUUGUAUAAUGGGUCAGCGACUUAUAUUCUGUAGCAAGGUUAACCGAAUAGGGGAGCCGAAGGGAAACCGAGUCUUAACUGGGCGUUAAGUUGCAGGGUAUAGACCCGAAACCCGGUGAUCUAGCCAUGGGCAGGUUGAAGGUUGGGUAACACUAACUGGAGGACCGAACCGACUAAUGUUGAAAAAUUAGCGGAUGACUUGUGGCUGGGGGUGAAAGGCCAAUCAAACCGGGAGAUAGCUGGUUCUCCCCGAAAGCUAUUUAGGUAGCGCCUCGUGAAUUCAUCUCCGGGGGUAGAGCACUGUUUCGGCAAGGGGGUCAUCCCGACUUACCAACCCGAUGCAAACUGCGAAUACCGGAGAAUGUUAUCACGGGAGACACACGGCGGGUGCUAACGUCCGUCGUGAAGAGGGAAACAACCCAGACCGCCAGCUAAGGUCCCAAAGUCAUGGUUAAGUGGGAAACGAUGUGGGAAGGCCCAGACAGCCAGGAUGUUGGCUUAGAAGCAGCCAUCAUUUAAAGAAAGCGUAAUAGCUCACUGGUCGAGUCGGCCUGCGCGGAAGAUGUAACGGGGCUAAACCAUGCACCGAAGCUGCGGCAGCGACGCUUAUGCGUUGUUGGGUAGGGGAGCGUUCUGUAAGCCUGUGAAGGUGUGCUGUGAGGCAUGCUGGAGGUAUCAGAAGUGCGAAUGCUGACAUAAGUAACGAUAAAGCGGGUGAAAAGCCCGCUCGCCGGAAGACCAAGGGUUCCUGUCCAACGUUAAUCGGGGCAGGGUGAGUCGACCCCUAAGGCGAGGCCGAAAGGCGUAGUCGAUGGGAAACAGGUUAAUAUUCCUGUACUUGGUGUUACUGCGAAGGGGGGACGGAGAAGGCUAUGUUGGCCGGGCGACGGUUGUCCCGGUUUAAGCGUGUAGGCUGGUUUUCCAGGCAAAUCCGGAAAAUCAAGGCUGAGGCGUGAUGACGAGGCACUACGGUGCUGAAGCAACAAAUGCCCUGCUUCCAGGAAAAGCCUCUAAGCAUCAGGUAACAUCAAAUCGUACCCCAAACCGACACAGGUGGUCAGGUAGAGAAUACCAAGGCGCUUGAGAGAACUCGGGUGAAGGAACUAGGCAAAAUGGUGCCGUAACUUCGGGAGAAGGCACGUUGAUAUGUAGGUGAAGUCCCUUGCGGAUGGAGCUGAAAUCAGUCGAAGAUACCAGCUGGCUGCAACUGUUUAUUAAAAACACAGCACUGUGCAAACACGAAAGUGGACGUAUACGGUGUGACGCCUGCCCGGUGCCGGAAGGUUAAUUGAUGGGGUUAGCGCAAGCGAAGCUCUUGAUCGAAGCCCCGGUAAACGGCGGCCGUAACUAUAACGGUCCUAAGGUAGCGAAAUUCCUUGUCGGGUAAGUUCCGACCUGCACGAAUGGCGUAAUGAUGGCCAGGCUGUCUCCACCCGAGACUCAGUGAAAUUGAACUCGCUGUGAAGAUGCAGUGUACCCGCGGCAAGACGGAAAGACCCCGUGAACCUUUACUAUAGCUUGACACUGAACAUUGAGCCUUGAUGUGUAGGAUAGGUGGGAGGCUUUGAAGUGUGGACGCCAGUCUGCAUGGAGCCGGCCUUGAAAUACCACCCUUUAAUGUUUGAUGUUCUAACGUUGACCCGUAAUCCGGGUUGCGGACAGUGUCUGGUGGGUAGUUUGACUGGGGCGGUCUCCUCCUAAAGAGUAACGGAGGAGCACGAAGGUUGGCUAAUCCUGGUCGGACAUCAGGAGGUUAGUGCAAUGGCAUAAGCCAGCUUGACUGCGAGCGUGACGGCGCGAGCAGGUGCGAAAGCAGGUCAUAGUGAUCCGGUGGUUCUGAAUGGAAGGGCCAUCGCUCAACGGAUAAAAGGUACUCCGGGGAUAACAGGCUGAUACCGCCCAAGAGUUCAUAUCGACGGCGGUGUUUGGCACCUCGAUGUCGGCUCAUCACAUCCUGGGGCUGAAGUAGGUCCCAAGGGUAUGGCUGUUCGCCAUUUAAAGUGGUACGCGAGCUGGGUUUAGAACGUCGUGAGACAGUUCGGUCCCUAUCUGCCGUGGGCGCUGGAGAACUGAGGGGGGCUGCUCCUAGUACGAGAGGACCGGAGUGGACGCAUCACUGGUGUUCGGGUUGUCAUGCCAAUGGCACUGCCCGGUAGCUAAAUGCGGAAGAGAUAAGUGCUGAAAGCAUCUAAGCACGAAACUUGCCCCGAGAUGAGUUCUCCCUGACUCCUUGAGAGUCCUGAAGGAACGUUGAAGACGACGACGUUGAUAGGCCGGGUGUGUAAGCGCAGCGAUGCGUUGAGCUAACCGGUACUAAUGAACCGUGAGGCUUAACCUU